rnacentral:rRNA from 1 species
UACGUAGGGUGCAAGCGUUGUCCGGAAUUAUUGGGCGUAAAGAGCUCGUAGGCGGUUUGUCGCGUCGAAUGUGAAAACCCGGGGCUCAACUCCGGGCCUGCAUUCGAUACGGGCAGACUAGAGUUCGGUAGGGGAGACUGGAAUUCCUGGUGUAGCGGUGAAAUGCGCAGAUAUCAGGAGGAACACCGGUGGCGAAGGCGGGUCUCUGGGCCUUACCUGACGCUGAGGCGCGAAAGCGUGGGGAGCAAACAGG